CCAGUAAAUAUUUGUCUGGGUUUUUCCCCCAUCUGGCGCAAUGAAGGUGAAGGCCGGCACACGCCGGCCAAGGUGGAAUCCCGAGGUCUUGGUCCUUCUUCCCGUCCUGCCGAGGGCGCACCACUGGCCCCGUCUCACCCGCCCUGCCGGGGAGGUGGAGCAUGAGCGUGUGUUAGGACCCGAAAGAUGGUGAACUAUGCCUGGGCAGGGCGAAGCCAGAGGAAACUCUGGUGGAGGUCUGUAGAGGUCCUGACGUGCAAAUUGGUCAUCCGACCUGGGUAUAGGGGCGAAAGACUAAUCGAACCAUCUAGUAGCUGG
rnacentral:ncRNA from 1 species